GAGGGUAUAGCUCAAGUGGCAGAGCACUUGUCUAGCAUGCAUGAGGUCCUAGGUUCAAUCCCCAGUACCUCCU
rnacentral:tRNA from 1 species